rnacentral:rRNA from 1 species
AACACAUGCAAGUCGAACGAAGUAGCAAUACUUAGUGGCAGACGGGUGAGUAUAAUGUGGGAAUCUGCCUUUUGGUUUAGAAUAACUCGGGGAAACUUGAGCUAAUACUAGAUAAGCCCUUACGGGGAAAGCUUUAUGCGCCAAGAGAUGAGCCCGCACUUGAUUAGCUUGUUGGUGAGGUAAAAGCUCACCAAGGCAACGAUCAAUAGCUGUUCUUAGAGGAAGACCAGCCACAUUGGGACUGAGACACGGCCCAGACUCCUACGGGAGGCAGCAGUGGGGAAUCUUGCACAAUGGGGGAAACCCUGAUGCAGCGAUGCCGCGUGAGUGAAGAAGGCCUUUGGGUUGUAAAACUCUUUCGUCGGGGAAGAAAAUGACUGUACCCGAAUAAGAAGGUCCGGCUAACUUCGUGCCAGCAGCCGCGGUAAUACGAAGGGACCUAGCGUAGUUCGGAAUUACUGGGCUUAAAGAGCUCGUAGGUGGUUAAAGAAGUUGGUGGUGAAAUCCCAAGGCUUAACCUUGGAACUGCCAUCAAAACUUUUUAGCUAGAGUAUGAUAGAGGAAAGUGGAAUUUCUAGUGUAGAGGUGAAAUUCGUAGAUAUUAGAAAGAACACCAAAAGCGAAGGCAACUUUCUGGAUCAUUACUGACACUGAGGAGCGAAAGCAUGGGUAGCGAAGAGGAUUAGAUACCCUCGUAGUCCAUGCUGUAAACGAUGUGUGCCAGACGUUGGAAAUUUAAUUUUCAGUGUCGCAGCAAAAGCGUUAAGCACACCGCCUGGGGAGUACGACCGCAAGGUUAAAACUCAAAUGAAUUGACGGGGACCCGCACAAGCAGUGGAGCAUGUGGUUAAUUCGAAGAUACGCGCAGAACCUUACCAACUCUUGACAUGUUCGUCGCGACUCGUAGAGAUAUGAGUCUUCGGUUCGGCCGGACGAAACACAGGUGCUGCAUGCUGUCGUCAGCUCGUGUCGUGAGAUGUGGGUUAGUCCCGCAACGAGCGCAACCCUACGUUAGUUACUACAUCAGUUGAGUACUCUAACGACUGCAGUGAUAGCUGAGAGGCGGAUGACGUCAGGUCCCAUGCUUACGAGUGGGCUACCCCGUGCACAAUGUACUUACC